ensembl:lncRNA
AUGAUGAUGAGGAGGAGGAGGAGCGGCUCGUGCGUGAAGACGGUGGCGGCGGCGGCGGCGCGCUCGUUGGCUCCUCGCACGGACCCGGACGGCGGACCCGUGCGCUCCCUUCCCCGGCUGCAGCCCCGUACGGCUCCCGCUCCCCCAGCGGCCGCUCGGCUCGCGCUCCGGCGGCGCGCCGCGCGACAAAGUAUCCUACGCCGCGUCAUCGUGCGCGCUCCACGUCCACGCUCCGCUCGGUUCGGUUCGGCGGGUGGAAAGAGCACGAGGGUGCGCGCAUGGUGCCGCUCUCGGAGGAAAAAAAGGAGCGGACGGGCGCGCGGAAGGAGGACGGCUCCCGGUGUAAACAGGAUGAAGCUGAACAUCGUGAGAGCACAGACAGAGUGCCGAAGCUCGAAGCCCCGUGGGAGCAGAGCUCAUGUCCAACGUGAACACCGAGAGGUGUGUGUGUGUGUGUGUGUGUGUGUGUGUGUGUGUGUUGUGUGGAGAAAGAAAGAGGCCCGGAACUCCAGCGUGUCCCUCUGCUCGGAACUCCCUCUCCGUCUCUCACACUUUUCAUGUGUCUCUGCUUUUUCUUCCAAUAAAUGCAUGUUAAAAUAAUGAUUGUAUUCUGAAAUUUAUCAAACUAUGAAACAGGAGUGUAGGUAUGUGUGUUUCGUGUGUGUGUGUGUGUGUGUGUGUGUGUGUGUGGGGGGGGGGGGGGGGUUGUGGGGUAUGCCGUUCUCUCCCUACUUUACGCAGCGCGUGCCAUUCUCUAAUAGCAGCAGCAACAUGAUCAUUAAGAACAACAAACAUAUUGUCACACAGAUGCGGACAGUGAGUGAGGACAGGUGAAACUGAAGACAUUUCGAGGUAAAAAGCAGCCCCACGCCGCACUCUCGUGACGUCAUAAAGGGACGAUCACCAUUUAGGUCGGACUUUUUUUGUACAGGUUUCCUUGUAUUUCUACGUCUCAUACAGGAGCGAGUGGAAUGAAAUGAGAAUGAAAAGAACAACAGAGCGAUAUUAAGUAUCAGAAGGCAAGAUUUUGCGCGCGUGUGUGAGUUAAAGUCACGUGCACGCGCGCGUGACUCUCCGGCCACACACAGACAGGUGAUAUAAGGUGUUAUGAAAAACAGACAGGUGUUCCCCCUGCGCUCGCGCUCCAUUAAAAAGGAAUUAUGAGCAUAAUUAGUUCUCAGUUAGUUGUGUGGUGUGCGAAACUCUCGAAUGUGUCUCACAGGGGGCCCAACCCUUGAACGGGACCGAUGGUCUCCAGUGGCGUACAGCGUCGCCUCGCGCCCCGGCCCCCUGCAAAGGGACAGUGGAGACAAGCGCGCUCCCGACUCUCACCGCGCGCACUGGCAGCGCCCUCUCACGUUCAGUCGGACCACGGGGAUCGACACGCGUGGCAGAGUCUCACGCAGCCCACCCGGGACUCCCCGUGGCCCCCGGGCCGAGCUCGUGAUGUGGCAUCCAAAAAUUUUAAACCCCCAAAGCAGUCAAAUCCUAAAAAGUCGAAAAUGUUUUACACAUAAUUGGUACCUCGAAGGCUCGCCCGGGUAAAAAUACCGGAAUAGUAAUAAACAUGUUACUAUUUUAAUAAAACGUUCCGGA